rnacentral:rRNA from 1 species
ACGUAUGGUGCAAGCGUUAUCCGGAUUUACUGGGUGUAAAGGGAGCGUAGACGGAGUGGCAAGUCUGGAGUGAAAACCCAGGGCUCAACCCUGGGACUGCUUUGGAAACUGUCAAUCUAGAGUGCUGGAGAGGUAAGUGGAAUUCCUAGUGUAGCGGUGAAAUGCGUAGAUAUUAGGAGGAACACCAGUGGCGAAGGCGGCUUACUGGACAGUGACUGACGUUGAGGCUCGAAAGCGUGGGGAGCAAACAG